GAUGAACGCUAGCGGCAGGCUUAAUACAUGCAAGUCGAGGGGCAGCAGGGUGUAGCAAUACAUCGCUGGCGACCGGCAAACGGGUGCGGAACACGUACACAACUUUCCUUUAAGUGGGGGAUAGCCCAGAGAAAUUUGGAUUAAUACCCCGUAAUAUUAUGAAGUGGCAUCAUUUUAUAAUUAUAGCUCCGGCGCUUGAAGAUGGGUGUGCGGCUGAUUAGGUAGUGGCGGGGUAACGGCCCACCAAGCCUACGAUCAGUAACUGGUGUGAGAGCACGACCAGUCACACGGGCACUGAGACACGGGCCCGACUCCUACGGGAGCAGCAAGUAAGGAUAUUGGUCAAUGGACGCAAGUCUGAACC
rnacentral:rRNA from 1 species